UACGUAGGGGGCAAGCGUUGUCCGGAUUUAUUGGGCGUAAAGGAGCUCGUAGGUGGUUCGGUAAGUCAGGUGUGAAACCUCCAGGCUACCAACCGUGGAGACCGCCACUUGAUUACUGCUGUGACUGGAGUGCCGGUAGGGGAGCGUGGAAUUCUGGUGUAGCGGUGAAAUGCGCAGAUAAUCAGGAGGAACACCAGCGGCGAAGGCGGCGCUCUGGGCCGGUACUGACACUGAGGAGCGAAAGCGUGGGUAGCAAACAGG
rnacentral:rRNA from 1 species